rnacentral:tRNA from 1 species
UAGCUCAGUUGGUAGAGCAUGGUGUUUGCAACACCAGGGUUGUGGGUUCAGAUCCCAC